rnacentral:rRNA from 1 species
AGCGAACGCUGGCGGCAAGCUUAACACAUGCAAGUCGAGCGCCCCGCAAGGGGAGCGGCAGACGGGAGAGUAACACGUGGGAACAUACCUUUUGGUUCGGAACAACUGAGGGAAACUUCAGCUAAUACCGGAUAAGCCCUUACGGGGAAAGAUUUAUCGCCGAAAGAUUGGCCCGCGUCUGAUUAGCUAGUUGGUGAGGUAACGGCUCACCAAGGCGACGAUCAGUAGCUGGUCUGAGAGGAUGAUCAGCCUCACUGGGACUGAGACACGGCCCAGACUCCUACGGGAGGCAGCAGUGGGGAAUAUUGGACAAUGGGGGCAACCCUGAUCCAGCCAUGCCGCGUGAGUGAUGAAGGCCUUAGGGUUGUAAAGCUCUUUUGCCCGGGAAGAUAAUGACGGUACCGGGAGAAUAAGCCCCGGCUAACUUCGUG